GGGAAAAUGGCAUUCCGAGACUGGAUUGUGAUUCCAGUCGUCGUGGGUUCGAGUCCCAUCGGUCACCCCA
rnacentral:tRNA from 1 species